UACGGAGGGUGCAAGCGUUAUCCGGAUUCACUGGGUUUAAAGGGUGCGUAGGAGGGCAGGUAAGUCCGGUGUGAAAGUCACAGGCUCAACCUGUGAAUGCCGCUGGAAACUGUCUGGCUAGAGUCCGGAAGGGGCGAGUGGAAUUCCUGGUGUAGCGGUGAAAUGCGCAGAUAUCAGGAGGAACACCAAUAGCGAAGGCAGCUCGCUGGGACGUUUACUGACACUGAGGCGCGAAAGCGUGGGGAGCGAACAGG
rnacentral:rRNA from 1 species